GAUGAACGCUGGCGGCGUGCUUAACACAUGCAAGUCGAACGAAGCACUCUAUUUGAUUUUCUUCGGAAAUGAAGAUUUUGUGACUGAGUGGCGGACGGGUGAGUAACGCGUGGGUAACCUGCCUCAUACAGGGGGAUAACAGUUGGAAACGACUGCUAAUACCGCAUAAGCGCACAGGAUUGCAUGAUCCGGUGUGAAAAACUCCGGUGGUAUGAGAUGGACCCGCGUCUGAUUAGCCAGUUGGCAGGGUAACGGCCUACCAAAGCGACGAUCAGUAGCCGACCUGAGAGGGUGACCGGCCACAUUGGGACUGAGACACGGCCCAAACUCCUACGGGAGGCAGCAGUGGGGAAUAUUGCACAAUGGGGGAAACCCUGAUGCAGCGACGCCGCGUGAGCGAAGAAGUAUUUCGGUAUGUAAAGCUCUAUCAGCAGGGAAGAAGAAUGACGGU
rnacentral:rRNA from 1 species